rnacentral:rRNA from 1 species
UGCAGUCGAGCGCGUGAACACUUCUGAUUCCUUCGGGAUGACGAAGUGUGGAACGAGCGGCGGACGGGUGAGUAACACGUGGGCAACCUGCCUGUAAGACUGGGAUAACUUCGGGAAACCGGAGCUAAUACCGGAUAAAACUUAUUACCUCAUGGUGAAAAGAUGAAAGGCGGCGCAAGCUGUCACUUACAGAUGGGCCCGCGGCGCAUUAGCUAGUUGGUGAGGUAACGGCUCACCAAGGCAACGAUGCGUAGCCGACCUGAGAGGGUGAUCGGCCACACUGGGACUGAGACACGGCCCAGACUCCUACGGGAGGCAGCAGUAGGGAAUCUUCCGCAAUGGACGAAAGUCUGACGGAGCAACGCCGCGUGAGUGAUGAAGGUUUUCGGAUCGUAAAACUCUGUUGUUAGGGAAGAACAAGUUGGGUAGUAACUGACCUGACCUUGACGGUACCUAACCAGAAAGCCCCGGCUAACUACGUGCCAGCAGCCGCGGUAAUACGUAGGGGGCGAGCGUUGUCCGGAAUUAUUGGGCGUAAAGCGCGCGCAGGCGGUCCUUUAAGUCUGAUGUGAAAGCCCACGGCUUAACCGUGGAGGGUCAUUGGAAACUGGAGGACUUGAGUACAGAAGAGGAGAGUGGAAUUCCAUGUGUAGCGGUGAAAUGCGUAGAUAUGUGGAGGAACACCAGUGGCGAAGGCGACUCUCUGGUCUGUAACUGACGCUGAGGCGCGAAAGCGUGGGGAGCGAACAGGAUUAGAUACCCUGGUAGUCCACGCCGUAAACGAUGAGUGCUAGGUGUUAGGGGGUUUCCGCCCCUUAGUGCUGAAGUUAACGCAUUAAGCACUCCGCCUGGGGAGUACGGCCGCAAGGCUGAAACUCAAAAGAAUUGACGGGGGCCCGCACAAGCGGUGGAGCAUGUGGUUUAAUUCGACGCAACGCGAAGAACCUUACCAGGUCUUGACAUCCUCUGACAAUCCUAGAAGAUAGGACGUUCCCUUCGGGGACAGAGUGACAGGUGGGUGCAUGGUUGUCGUCAGCUCGUGUCGUGAGAUGUUGGGGUUAAGUCCCGCAACGAGCGCAA